rnacentral:rRNA from 1 species
AACGAACGCUGGCGGCAUGCCUAACACAUGCAAGUCGAACGAGACCUUCGGGUCUAGUGGCGCACGGGUGCGUAACGCGUGGGAACCUGCCCUUAGGUUCGGAAUAACUCCCCGAAAGGGGUGCUAAUACCGGAUAAUGUCUUCGGACCAAAGAUUUAUCGCCUUUGGAUGGGCCCGCGUUGGAUAGCUAGUUGGUAGGGUAAAAGCCUACCAAGGCGACGAUCCAUAGCUGGUCUGAGAGGAUGAUCAGCCACACUGGGACUGAGACACGGCCCAGACUCCUACGAGAGGCAGCAGUGGGGAAUAUUGGACAAUGGGCGAAAGCCUGAUCCAGCAAUGCCGCGUGAGUGAUGAAGGCCUUAGGGUUGUAAAGCUCUUUUACCCGGGAUGAUAAUGACAGUACCGGGAGAAUAAGCGCCGGCUAACUCCGUG